rnacentral:rRNA from 1 species
AUUGAACGCUGGCGGCAGGCCUAACACAUGCAAGUCGAGCGAGCGGCGGACGGGUGAGUAAUGUCUGGGAAACUGCCUGAUGGAGGGGGAUAUCUACUGGAAACGGUAGCUAAUACCGCAUACCAUCAGAUGUGCCCAUAUGGGAUUAGAUGGUAGGUGGGGUCACGGCUCACCUAGGCGACGAUCCCUAGCUGGUCUGAGAGGAUAACCAGCCACACUGGAACUGUGACACGGUCCAGACUCCUACGGGAGGCAGCAGUGGGGAAUAUUGCACAAUGGGCGCAAGCCUGAUGCAGCCAUGCCGCGUGUAUGAAGAAGGCCGUCGGGUUGUAAAGUACUUUCAGCGGGGAGGCGUUACCCGCAGAAGAAGCACCGGCUAACUCCGUGCCAGCAGCCGCGGUAAUUC